rnacentral:rRNA from 1 species
GCCAUUCCGCGUGCAGGACGAAGGCCUUCGGGUUGUAAACUGCUUUUGUACGGAACGAAAAGGUCUCUAUUAAUACUAGGGGCUCAUGACGGUACCGUAAGAAUAAGCACCGGCUAACUACGUGCCAGCAGCCGCGGUAAUACGUAGGGUGCAAGCGUUAAUCGGAAUUACUGGGCGUAAAGCGUGCGCAGGCGGUUAUAUAAGACAGAUGUGAAAUCCCCGGGCUCAACCUGGGAACUGCAUUUGUGACUGUAUAGCUGGAGUGCGGCAGAGGGCGAUGGAAUUCCCCGUGUAGCAGUGAAAUGCGUANAUAUGCGGAGGAACACCGAUGGCGAANNCAAUCCCCUGGUGCUGCCCUGACGCUAAUGAACCAAAAAUCGCNNAGCAAAAANUAUUAAAUACCCUGGUAGUCCUGGCCUUAGNCUAUNUUUCCUGGAUUCUCGAACCUCUUCG